AUUGAACGCUGGCGGCAGGCCUAACACAUGCAAGUCGAACGAGUGGCGGACGGGUGAGUAAUGGAUGGGAAACUGCCUGAUGGAAGGGGAUAAGUACUGGAAACGGUAGCUAAUACCGCAUACAGUCAGAUGUUCCCUGAUGGGUUUAUCUUGUUGGUGGGGUAAAGGCUCACCAAGGCGACGAUACCUAGCUGGUCUGAGAGGAUGACCAGCCACACUGGGACUGAGACACGGCCCAGACUCCUACGGGAGGCAGCAGUGGGGAAUAUUGCACAAUGGGCGCAAGCCUUAUCCAGCCAUGCCGCGUGUGUGAAGAAGGCCUUCGGGUUGUAAAGUACUUUUAGCUGGGAGGCGUUAUCUGAAGAAGAAGCCACGGCUAACUCCGUGCCAGCAGCCGCGGUAAUAC
rnacentral:rRNA from 1 species